CGUAAUUCAACUUCUCUGUAUGUUAUGCUAUGCUCACCGCAAGUAUAGCUACCAUCUGUCACCAUUGUAUGUUUAAUUCUGAUUACUUCUUUAAUAGCAUUCCAUGAAGAGAUAUUCUAGACUUCCAAAUGAGUAGAUUAUUUUAUGUUCUUUGUUUUUGGAGUGUGUGGCAAUAAAAAUGCCACAGAUUCACCUAGCCCUGUUUCAGCUCUCCUCUAUUCUGAGCAGAUGGGAGCCUGCGCUCCCAGUUAGGCAGUGUCACAUGACUAAUUACAGCCAAUCAAGUGUGCACAGGAGCGACAUGUGACAUGUCCAGGCUGAGGCCAUGAAAAGCCCCAUUUUGUUGCAGUGUUCAUUCGGGUCUUCUUGUCCUCUUGAGGGAUGAAGGUGGAGGACUUUGUUGAGAGGGCUGAAUCCCAGGAUGAAAGGAUCUUUAGUGGUGAGAAAGAGAAACAACCGACAAUGGAUUUUGUGUCGGCAUGGGGAGAAAUUGCAGAAGCUGGAGAGCAAGCUGGAGGCAAAGCAAAGUGGGCAGCUUCUGACAGCUGCUAUUUUCUCCCUGGGGCAUUAAGAGCUGGUGACAGAGCUCCACCAAAGAGUCACAGAAAAAAAGGUUGCCUGGGACUCCGUGUCUACAGCACGCCAGGACCCAGGAUGACAGAGCAACCCCUGUCCGGCACCUGCCAAAGAAUUAGGUUCAUCCUUUCCCUGACGAAGAGCCAUUGAGUGUUUUCAAGCAGGACAAUAACAUGGUUAAGUCUCAGCUUGAAAUGAUCACUCUGAUGCCGGGCUGGAAAGAACAGGCACAGAAGAGGAUGAAGCUGGUAGCCGGGGAACCAAUUAAAAGGCAUGUGCCAAGUGUUGUGGACAGGGUGUGUAGUGAUAGAAUUUGCUGGAAGUUGUCUGUGGCACGAUGAAGGCACCAGGGAUGAUGCGGGCAGGGAGAGGAGACAAUUCGCACCCUUACUCCCAGAUGGUCUAUUAAAGAGAGAGAAAAGGCAGUCCAGAUUAGUGACCAGUUGCCUUAGAGACAGGCUAACUCCUGGAAUGCAUGGUGAAUGCAGGGCACAACACAAAACCCAACAAGACUUCUGGCUUGUGUAAAAUGACCCACCACCUCAGAAAUACUUUUGGGUUCUUAGAGAGAGAACUGUGGCCAGCCGGGGGGCCUGCAGCAGCAGCUCAGCAUCUUGGCAAAUGAAUUUUUGUCGUCUUGCACCUGUCAGUGUCCCAGUAAUGUCCCUCUAAUCUCUCGGUCUCACUUGUCCCGGGGCUUGCUUUCCAUCGGAUACAACAACUGGCGGCUCAGGCCAGGAGGGUGGAGAGGCACCCUCUUGGAAAUACAUACAAGGCUUUAUUUUCAGGAAGCUGCCCAGGUCAUCUCCUUAGGUUAUAUUUUUGGCUUUGCCAGCCAUCUCCUUGAGGCCACCAUUUGUAGAUAAAUUCAUUGAAAUUUUAAGAGCAAGUCUCUGCCUGAGGAGGAAGGGAGCUGAGGGGCCUUAGGUAUUUAAAUGGGCUCUUUGUAAUCUCUCUUUCUCUGUGGUUCACUGAGCAAGCUAGCCUUGAAGCACAGCAUUGAUCAUUCUCCUCACAGCCUCCUGGAGAAGAAUGAGCAAGCUGUGAGAGAUUUAUCUUCAGGCUGGACCCUCCUCCAGCUGUGAGUGACGCAGUCAAAGAAAGGCUGUGAGUACCUCCCCCAAGGUAGGGCAGCGGGUGGGAAGACAUAUACUCCAUCAGAAAAUGCUAGAGGUGAGGGAGCCCUCUUGGCUGCCAGACCCCUUUCCCAAAAAACAAAAGGAAGGGGGGUCUUGAGUUGAGUAGAGGGGGAUCUCGGGAUGGGCAGAGCCGGAAGCACCAUCCCAAUAAUUGACUCGUCUUCUCCUCUUUUGGUUCUGGGAGCCAGGCUGCAGCCACAUGUGCGAGCCUUCAGCUCAGCUCAACAUGUCUCUGGUGAGGAGACUUCUCGGAUUUCAGGAGCCCUACAAGGCUUUGGAAUGCCUGCCAGGGAGGAAUCUGAACAUCAAAAGGUUCAAAGGUGGUUGGAAAAUCCAAUCCUCAAAUUGUCGGAAGCAAACAUGUCUUCUCUGUCCUAUUUUUAUGACUUUCAUAGUGACAACCGGUGUUACUAAGAAUCCGGGGGAGUUUCAGCAUUUACCUAGCAGACCCUGUCUUUUAAGGAAAUCAACACUGCCGCAUUAUCUUAAUUUUUACAAGCUGGGGAAGGAGGAAAAGUAGUUAUUUUAUUUGGAGACCCAGAGCAGUUUUCAUGAUAUUCCUAAUGGAACAUUGUAAAUCUGGGGAGUCAAGGUUCAAGUGUGGGUCUCUUUGCAUUUGACAUAUUUUUAUUUUAGGUCCAAGCGAAGUAUAUUUUUAAUAGGCAGGACAACACUUCCUGCCUUCAAUCAGUGAUAAUACCAGCCUGAGAUAAUAUUCUGAGACAGCAAGUUGCAUUUCAACUUAAGAUAAAUAUGCCCCCAGUAAAAUUUCACUCAUUGUGGCUUUAAAACAUGUCAAGUCCAAGGUCAAUUAAUUGUACUUGCAACUUAAAGCCAAUCAGGAGGAUGAGCUAACAUCAAGGUUUUUUCCCCCCCCAAAAUGAAAAUUUAUCCUGUGGUUUUUUUCCCCAUGUUAUUUCUAAAAAAAAAAAGAAGAAGAAGAAGAAGUAGUACAGGCAUUAUUCAAAAAUUAGAAAGAAAAGAAAGAAUGGAUUAGCAGUGGAACAUGACAAUGUACCAAGAGAUUUAAAAUAAAUUUCCUAAAUGAAAAUUUAUCAACUGAAGAAGCUUUCCAUAGCAUCUGUGACCUUGAAAUUUAAUCUGAGAUUUUGCUUCUGAACAACAUGACGGAGCCUCCUGACUGAGCAUACCUCAGACUAAUGCACUUCACUCAACACUUAUUUUGGGGAACCUUUUGGAAAGAUAUAUAAGAAAACAAGAUAUAGACACUGGCCUCAAGGAGGUUACAGCCCAAGGGGCUUUGAUUUUAAAGUGGAUGACUGUACUUCCUUUUCUCAGCUUCUCUGAACCUCAGUUUGAUCAUUUAUAGCACUGGAAUGAAAACAUCUCUUAUCUCCCUCCCUGGGUACCUUGAGAAUUGGUGGAGGGAGGGAGGAAAGAAGAGGAAAGAUGAGAAGUGUUGGGAAUAAUUUGGAAUAAUUUUGAAUUAUUAAAAGUUUCUUUAUGGGGGCGCCUGGGUGGCUCAGUGG